rnacentral:rRNA from 1 species
CGUUAGCGGCGACGGGUGAGUAACACGUGGGUGACCUACCUAUAAGACUGGGAUAACUCCGGGAAACCGGGGCUAAUACCGGAUAACACAUGAAACCGCAUGGUUUCAUGAUGAAAGACGGUUUUGCUGUCACUUAUAGAUGGACCCGCGGCGUAUUAGCUAGUUGGUAAGGUAACGGCUUACCAAGGCAACGAUACGUAGCCGACCUGAGAGGGUGAUCGGCCACACUGGAACUGAGACACGGUCCAGACUCCUACGGGAGGCAGCAGGC